UACGUAGGCAGCGAGCGUUGUUCGGAGUUACUGGGCGUAAAGAGUGCGUAGGCGGUCCCGUAAGUUUGUUGUGAAAUCUCCCGGCUUAACUGGGAGGGUGCGGCGAAAACUGCGGGGCUUGAGUGUGGGAGAGGUAAGCGGAAUUCCUGGUGUAGCGGUGAAAUGCGUAGAUAUCAGGAGGAACACCGGCGGUGUAGACGGCUUACUGGACCAUGACUGACGCUGAGGCACGAAAGCGUGGGGAGCAAACAGG
rnacentral:rRNA from 1 species